ACAAUAGGCAUGUCAAACCUACCCCCUUCCCGCAUUAGAACUAAGCGGCCCGCGGGGCCGUAAAUGUUUUUAAGAAAAUCUUAAAAAUCAACCGCUUGAAUAAUGCCAAUCAAAAUCGUUGUCUAUAAUCUAUGGAAUGUUGACUACGAUACUAUCUGAUUUUUAGUUGACAAUAUCCAUAUAAUAAGGAGCUAAAAAUCAUAAAAGUUGGAGAUACAGCCGGAAAAAUGCCCCGUUUUGACGCCGCGCGCGCGGCACGCUAUUUCGAAGGCCGCCCGGCGGAGAUGCAAUUUUCAACUCAAAAGCCACAAGCCGCCGUGCAUCGGAGAACUCUGGGAAUGAUUCCAGGUGAAAGGGCAGAGAUCAAGGUUCACUCCAGUGGUUGCACAAUUUUGCUACGUCAUUCCUGGCGGAAGUUAUGGGCCAGAGUAGGGAAACCUCCGAAAUUGACACAAAAGGGACAUAUCCUGGGCAGAUAAGCGGAAACAGCAAAAUAGAGACUUGUCAAAACUGCUCACCAGAGACAAGGCUGCAGACACCGAGACAACAGAUCAAGUUUAGACACGACAUGUUUGGAGUUGCAAUAAUUGGUGACGAACAUUGAAAGUUAUUUGAUCUUAUUCUUUGUUAUUGUUU